GGGAGUGAUAGGUUUCGAUAGGAAAUUCCUUUAAAAUGAGCAGGCCGAGGAUGUCAGUUAGCUCGUUAAAAUCUGACAAAAACAACUGCAAAAACAAAUUUUGCUUUUGCUACAGCUUAAAUGCUGCAGCCAUCAUAAUUGCUGAUUCUCAAUAAGUAAUUUUGGUGUUAUAGUGUCCUUUAUGGGCUCUUGAGAUAGAUGUUUUGGUUGGCUUAAGCCAGAAUAUUAAAUAAAGUUGAGCUAAGCUAUCUGAGUUUUUGUUUGUUUCUUAUUCAGAUAGUCGAAAAAAAUAAACAAACUAAGCUUGUAGAUUUAUUUUAAAGAAUUUUUUAGACGGGAGUUCAAUUCUCCUCACUUCCAC
rnacentral:tmRNA from 1 species